AUCCCUUUACCGCAUGGCAAGAACGGUUCUUGUUAAAUAGAGGUAAAAGUGAAGAACCUGUGUGCAAAGCAGAGACAAUAUAACCCUGAGGGACGUUUGCUGAGUACUCGAACCCCCGGUAUCAGCGGGAGAGAGAUACAGGGAGAGAGAGGCAGAGCCAGAAGCAGAGAGAGAGAGAGGGAGAGAUGGAAGACGCCAAACGCGAUCUCGUCAAGCAGUUGAGGAGCCACGAAGUCGCCAUAGCUGAACUGGGUAGCCUUCAGCCUUCUCGGUCUGUUUAUCAGAAAAACGGGAACAUAUACUUCAGAACGACCAUCCAGAACGCGAAAGCAUCUGAGCAAAAAAAAGUCGAUUCGGCCAAAGCGAAGCUGGAGAGGCUGAAUGUAGCAUAAAAUCGGCACGACGACCCGGGGAAUGGCUGACUCUAAUGCUUCUCCUGUUCUUCAAUCUUUAGCUACAAGGUGCUCGAGAUUAUUGUUAGACUCUGAACAAAAGUUUGCUUAAGAAGCGCCUGUUGAGCUGUAGUUUUUGCGGUGUUUUGCUCUGAAUCCCAUUUGAAUUCCUCUCAGAUGGGCCAGCUAAUGGUUAAAGAGGAGCCUCCCGGCUAUUGUAAUAAGCAUAGCGGUGCUAGGAGUUUGAUUGGUAUCUGAAAUGAUUUUGAUACUAAUCUUGUCAAUAUUCAGUCACCGUUGCCAUUUUCGUUG